rnacentral:tRNA from 1 species
GCGGCCGUAGCUCAGUUGGAUAGAGCAUCUGUCUUCGGAACAGANNUCCCAUCUGGUGCACCA